CCUUCACCUUCGUAGCGCUUUGUGUUUGAGCAGGGAGCUCCCACUACUUUAAGAUCCUUUUAUUUGGACAGUCUAGGUACUUUAAUUGACCACAACCAUGUCCCUUGGACAUCAGUGUGCAUAAAUUGUACAUGGUUUGUUCCAUUUGAGUAAGAUCCUACCCCUUCACACUCUGCGAUACAACAAGGAUGCUGAUUACUAAGACAAGACCUCUUUUCUUGGCCUAUUACUGUGCAUGACUACAUUUGCCCAUGUGCCUGUGCACUGGAUAAAAACACUGCUCCACCUCCCCUUGCUAACUCCCCAGCACCUUUUCCUUACAGCAGGGAGCACCCACUGGUUUAAGAUCCUUUUAUUUGGACAGUCAAGGUUCAUGACAUUAAUUGAAUACGAUCAUGUCCUUUGACAUCAAUGUAUAUAAUUGCACAUGGUUCAUCCAUUUGCAUAAGAUCCUACCCCCUCACACACUUAGUGUGAUACAGCAAGGGUAGUGACCACGGGGCCUCUUUUCUUGGCCUGUUGCUGUGCAUAACUGCAUUUGUCCAUGCUCCUGUGCACUGGAUAAGGACACCAAACCAUCUUCCCUGCCCCCUCUACCCUAGUUCCUUUGCUUUACAGCAGGCAGUGCCCACUAUGUUAAGAUUCUUUUAUUUCGAUAGUCAAGGUACAUGACUUUAAUUGACCACAACCAUGUCCCUUGGACGUCAGUGUGUAUAAUCGCACAUGCUUCCUCCCAUUUGAAUAAGAUCCAACCCCUUCACAGAUUUUGUGGGAUAUAAGAAGGGUGCUGACGACUCAGGCGUCUUUUCUUGGUCUGUUAUGGUGCAUAACUGCAUUUGUCCAUGUUCCUGUGCACUGGAUAAGGACACAGCCCAGUCCUCUCUGCCCCUUCACCUUCGUAGCGCUUUGUGUUUGAGCAGGGAGCUCCCACUACUUUAAGAUCCUUUUAUUUGGACAGUCUAGGUACUUUAAUUGACCACAACCAUGUCCCUUGGACAUCAGUGUGCAUAAAUUGUACAUGGUUUGUUCCAUUUGAGUAAGAUCCUACCCCUUCACACUCUGCGAUACAACAAGGAUGCUGAUUACUAAGACAAGACCUCUUUUCUUGGCCUAUUACUGUGCAUGACUACAUUUGCCCAUGUGCCUGUGCACUGGAUAAAAACACUGCUCCACCUCCCCUUACUAACUCCCCAGCACCUUUUCCUUACAGCAGGGAGCACCCACUGGUUUAAGAUCCUUUUAUUUGGACAGUCAAGGUUCAUGACAUUAAUUGAAUACGAUCAUGUCCUUUGACAUCAAUGUAUAUAAGUGCACAUGGUUCAUCCAUUUGCAUAAGAUCCUACCCCCUCACACACUUAGUGUGAUAUAGCAAGGGUAGUGACCACGGGGCCUCUUUUCUUGGCCUGUUGCUGUGCAUAACUGCAUUUGUCCAUGCUCCUGUGCACUGGAUAAGGACACCAAACCAUCUUCCCUGCCCCCUCUACCCUAGUUCCUUUGCUUUACAGCAGGCAGUGCCCACUAUGUUAAGAUUCUUUUAUUUCGAUAGUCAAGGUACAUGACUUUAAUUGACCACAACCAUGUCCCUUGGACAUCAGUGUGUAUAAUUGCACAUGCUUCCUCCCAUUUGAAUAAGAUCCAACCCCUUCACAGAUUUUGUGGGAUAUAAGAAGGGUGCUGACGACUCAGGCGUCUUUUCUUGGUCUGUUAUGGUGCAUAACUGCAUUUGUCCAUGUUCCUGUGCACUGGAUAAGGACACAGCCCAGUCCUCUCUGCCCCUUCACCUUCGUAGCGCUUUGUGUUUGAGCAGGGAGCUCCCACUACUUUAAGAUCCUUUUAUUUGGACAGUCUAGGUACUUUAAUUGACCACAACCAUGUCCCUUGGACAUCAGUGUGCAUAAAUUGUACAUGGUUUGUUCCAUUUGAGUAAGAUCCUACCCCUUCACACUCUGCGAUACAACAAGGAUGCUGAUUACUAAGACAAGACCUCUUUUCUUGGCCUAUUACUGUGCAUGACUACAUUUGCCCAUGUGCCUGUGCACUGGAUAAAAACACUGCUCCACCUCCCCUUGCUAACUCCCCAGCACCUUUUCCUUACAGCAGGGAGCACCCACUGGUUUAAGAUCCUUUUAUUUGGACAGUCAAGGUUCAUGACAUUAAUUGAAUACGAUCAUGUCCUUUGACAUCAAUGUAUAUAAUUGCACAUGGUUCAUCCAUUUGCAUAAGAUCCUACCCCCUCACACACUUAGUGUGAUACAGCAAGGGUAGUGACCACGGGGCCUCUUUUCUUGGCCUGUUGCUGUGCAUAACUGCAUUUGUCCAUGCUCCUGUGCACUGGAUAAGGACACCAAACCAUCUUCCCUGCCCCCUCUACCCUAGUUCCUUUGCUUUACAGCAGGCAGUGCCCACUAUGUUAAGAUUCUUUUAUUUCGAUAGUCAAGGUACAUGACUUUAAUUGACCACAACCAUGUCCCUUGGACGUCAGUGUGUAUAAUCGCACAUGCUUCCUCCCAUUUGAAUAAGAUCCAACCCCUUCACAGAUUUUGUGGGAUAUAAGAAGGGUGCUGACGACUCAGGCGUCUUUUCUUGGUCUGUUAUGGUGCAUAACUGCAUUUGUCCAUGUUCCUGUGCACUGGAUAAGGACACAGCCCAGUCCUCUCUGCCCCUUCACCUUCGUAGCGCUUUGUGUUUGAGCAGGGAGCUCCCACUACUUUAAGAUCCUUUUAUUUGGACAGUCUAGGUACUUUAAUUGACCACAACCAUGUCCCUUGGACAUCAGUGUGCAUAAAUUGUACAUGGUUUGUUCCAUUUGAGUAAGAUCCUACCCCUUCACACUCUGCGAUACAACAAGGAUGCUGAUUACUAAGACAAGACCUCUUUUCUUGGCCUAUUACUGUGCAUGACUACAUUUGCCCAUGUGCCUGUGCACUGGAUAAAAACACUGCUCCACCUCCCCUUACUAACUCCCCAGCACCUUUUCCUUACAGCAGGGAGCACCCACUGGUUUAAGAUCCUUUUAUUUGGACAGUCAAGGUUCAUGACAUUAAUUGAAUACGAUCAUGUCCUUUGACAUCAAUGUAUAUAAGUGCACAUGGUUCAUCCAUUUGCAUAAGAUCCUACCCCCUCACACACUUAGUGUGAUAUAGCAAGGGUAGUGACCACGGGGCCUCUUUUCUUGGCCUGUUGCUGUGCAUAACUGCAUUUGUCCAUGCUCCUGUGCACUGGAUAAGGACACCAAACCAUCUUCCCUGCCCCCUCUACCCUAGUUCCUUUGCUUUACAGCAGGCAGUGCCCACUAUGUUAAGAUUCUUUUAUUUCGAUAGUCAAGGUACAUGACUUUAAUUGACCACAACCAUGUCCCUUGGACAUCAGUGUGUAUAAUUGCACAUGCUUCCUCCCAUUUGAAUAAGAUCCAACCCCUUCACAGAUUUUGUGGGAUAUAAGAAGGGUGCUGACGACUCAGGCGUCUUUUCUUGGUCUGUUAUGGUGCAUAACUGCAUUUGUCCAUGUUCCUGUGCACUGGAUAAGGACACAGCCCAGUCCUCUCUGCCCCUUCACCUUCGUAGCGCUUUGUGUUUGAGCAGGGAGCUCCCACUACUUUAAGAUCCUUUUAUUUGGACAGUCUAGGUACUUUAAUUGACCACAACCAUGUCCCUUGGACAUCAGUGUGCAUAAAUUGUACAUGGUUUGUUCCAUUUGAGUAAGAUCCUACCCCUUCACACUCUGCGAUACAACAAGGAUGCUGAUUACUAAGACAAGACCUCUUUUCUUGGCCUAUUACUGUGCAUGACUACAUUUGCCCAUGUGCCUGUGCACUGGAUAAAAACACUGCUCCACCUCCCCUUGCUAACUCCCCAGCACCUUUUCCUUACAGCAGGGAGCACCCACUGGUUUAAGAUCCUUUUAUUUGGACAGUCAAGGUUCAUGACAUUAAUUGAAUACGAUCAUGUCCUUUGACAUCAAUGUAUAUAAUUGCACAUGGUUCAUCCAUUUGCAUAAGAUCCUACCCCCUCACACACUUAGUGUGAUACAGCAAGGGUAGUGACCACGGGGCCUCUUUUCUUGGCCUGUUGCUGUGCAUAACUGCAUUUGUCCAUGCUCCUGUGCACUGGAUAAGGACACCAAACCAUCUUCCCUGCCCCCUCUACCCUAGUUCCUUUGCUUUACAGCAGGCAGUGCCCACUAUGUUAAGAUUCUUUUAUUUCGAUAGUCAAGGUACAUGACUUUAAUUGACCACAACCAUGUCCCUUGGACGUCAGUGUGUAUAAUCGCACAUGCUUCCUCCCAUUUGAAUAAGAUCCAACCCCUUCACACAUUUUGUGGGAUAUAAGAAGGGUGCUGACGACUCAGGCGUCUUUUCUUGGUCUGUUAUGGUGCAUAACUGCAUUUGUCCAUGUUCCUGUGCACUGGAUAAGGACACAGCCCAGUCCUCUCUGCCCUUCACCUUCGUAGCGCUUUGUGUUUGAGCAGGGAGCUCCCACUACUUUAAGAUCCUUUUAUUUGGACAGUCUAGGUACUUUAAUUGACCACAACCAUGUCCCUUGGACAUCAGUGUGCAUAAAUUGUACAUGGUUUGUUCCAUUUGAGUAAGAUCCUACCCCUUCACACUCUGCGAUACAACAAGGAUGCUGAUUACUAAGACAAGACCUCUUUUCUUGGCCUAUUACUGUGCAUGACUACAUUUGCCCAUGUGCCUGUGCACUGGAUAAAAACACUGCUCCACCUCCCCUUGCUAACUCCCCAGCACCUUUUCCUUACAGCAGGGAGCACCCACUGGUUUAAGAUCCUUUUAUUUGGACAGUCAAGGUUCAUGACAUUAAUUGAAUACGAUCAUGUCCUUUGACAUCAAUGUAUAUAAUUGCACAUGGUUCAUCCAUUUGCAUAAGAUCCUACCCCCUCACACACUUAGUGUGAUACAGCAAGGGUAGUGACCACGGGGCCUCUUUUCUUGGCCUGUUGCUGUGCAUAACUGCAUUUGUCCAUGCUCCUGUGCACUGGAUAAGGACACCAAACCAUCUUCCCUGCCCCCUCUACCCUAGUUCCUUUGCUUUACAGCAGGCAGUGCCCACUAUGUUAAGAUUCUUUUAUUUCGAUAGUCAAGGUACAUGACUUUAAUUGACCACAACCAUGUCCCUUGGACGUCAGUGUGUAUAAUUGCACAUGCUUCCUCCCAUUUGAAUAAGAUCCAACCCCUUCACAGAUUUUGUGGGAUAUAAGAAGGGUGCUGACGACUCAGGCGUCUUUUCUUGGUCUGUUAUGGUGCAUAACUGCAUUUGUCCAUGUUCCUGUGCACUGGAUAAGGACACAGCCCAGUCCUCUCUGCCCCUUCACCUUCGUAGCGCUUUGUGUUUGAGCAGGGAGCUCCCACUACUUUAAGAUCCUUUUAUUUGGACAGUCUAGGUACUUUAAUUGACCACAACCAUGUCCCUUGGACAUCAGUGUGCAUAAAUUGUACAUGGUUUGUUCCAUUUGAGUAAGAUCCUACCCCUUCACACUCUGCGAUACAACAAGGAUGCUGAUUACUAAGACAAGACCUCUUUUCUUGGCCUAUUACUGUGCAUGACUACAUUUGCCCAUGUGCCUGUGCACUGGAUAAAAACACUGCUCCACCUCCCCUUGCUAACUCCCCAGCACCUUUUCCUUAACAGCAGGGAGCACCCACUGAUUUAAGAUCCUUUUAUUUGGACAGUCAAGGUUCAUGACAUUAAUUGAAUACGAUCAUGUCCUUUGACAUCAAUGUAUAUAAUUGCACAUGGUUCAUCCAUUUGCAUAAGAUCCUACCCCCUCACACACUUAGUGUGAUACAGCAAGGGUAGUGACCACGGGGCCUCUUUUCUUGGCCUGUUGCUGUGCAUAACUGCAUUUGUCCAUGCUCCUGUGCACUGGAUAAGGACACCAAACCAUCUUCCCUGCCCCCUCUACCCUAGUUCCUUUGCUUUACAGCAGGCAGUGCCCACUAUGUUAAGAUUCUUUUAUUUCGAUAGUCAAGGUACAUGACUUUAAUUGACCACAACCAUGUCCCUUGGACAUCAGUGUGUAUAAUUGCACAUGCUUCCUCCCAUUUGAAUAAGAUCCAACCCCUUCACAGAUUUUGUGGGAUAUAAGAAGGGUGCUGACGACUCAGGCAUCUUUUCUUGGUCUGUUAUGGUGCAUAACUGCAUUUGUCCAUGUUCCUGUGCACUGGAUAAGGACACAGCCCAGUCCUCUCUGCCCCUUCACCUUCGUAGCGCUUUGUGUUUGAGCAGGGAGCUCCCACUACUUUAAGAUCCUUUUAUUUGGACAGUUUAGGUACUUUAAUUGACCACAACCAUGUCCCUUGGACAUCAGUGUGCAUAAAUUGUACAUGGUUUGUUCCAUUUGAGUAAGAUCCUACCCCUUCACACUCUGCGAUACAACAAGGAUGCUGAUUACUAAGACAAGACCUCUUUUCUUGGCCUAUUACUGUGCAUGACUACAUUUGCCCAUGUGCCUGUGCACUGGAUAAAAACACUGCUCCACCUCCCCUUGCUAACUCCCCAGCACCUUUUCCUUACAGCAGGGAGCACCCACUGGUUUAAGAUCCUUUUAUUUGGACAGUCAAGGUUCAUGACAUUAAUUGAAUACGAUCAUGUCCUUUGACAUCAAUGUAUAUAAUUGCACAUGGUUCAUCCAUUUGCAUAAGAUCCUACCCCCUCACACACUUAGUGUGAUAUAGCAAGGGUAGUGACCACGGGGCCUCUUUUCUUGGCCUGUUGCUGUGCAUAACUGCAUUUGUCCAUGCUCCUGUGCACUGGAUAAGGACACCAAACCAUCUUCCCUGCCCCCUCUACCCUAGUUCCUUUGCUUUACAGCAGGCAGUGCCCACUAUGUUAAGAUUCUUUUAUUUCGAUAGUCAAGGUACAUGACUUUAAUUGACCACAACCAUGUCCCUUGGACAUCAGUGUGUAUAAUUGCACAUGCUUCCUCCCAUUUGAAUAAGAUCCAACCCCUUCACAGAUUUUGUGGGAUAUAAGAAGGGUGCUGACGACUCAGGCGUCUUUUCUUGGUCUGUUAUGGUGCAUAACUGCAUUUGUCCAUGUUCCUGUGCACUGGAUAAGGACACAGCCCAGUCCUCUCUGCCCCUUCACCUUCGUAGCGCUUUGUGUUUGAGCAGGGAGCUCCCACUACUUUAAGAUCCUUUUAUUUGGACAGUCUAGGUACUUUAAUUGACCACAACCAUGUCCCUUGGACAUCAGUGUGCAUAAAUUGUACAUGGUUUGUUCCAUUUGAGUAAGAUCCUACCCCUUCACACUCUGCGAUACAACAAGGAUGCUGAUUACUAAGACAAGACCUCUUUUCUUGGCCUAUUACUGUGCAUGACUACAUUUGCCCAUGUGCCUGUGCACUGGAUAAAAACACUGCUCCACCUCCCCUUGCUAACUCCCCAGCACCUUUUCCUUACAGCAGGGAGCACCCACUGGUUUAAGAUCCUUUUAUUUGGACAGUCAAGGUUCAUGACAUUAAUUGAAUACGAUCAUGUCCUUUGACAUCAAUGUAUAUAAUUGCACAUGGUUCAUCCAUUUGCAUAAGAUCCUACCCCCUCACACACUUAGUGUGAUACAGCAAGGGUAGUGACCACGGGGCCUCUUUUCUUGGCCUGUUGCUGUGCAUAACUGCAUUUGUCCAUGCUCCUGUGCACUGGAUAAGGACACCAAACCAUCUUCCCUGCCCCCUCUACCCUAGUUCCUUUGCUUUACAGCAGGCAGUGCCCACUAUGUUAAGAUUCUUUUAUUUCGAUAGUCAAGGUACAUGACUUUAAUUGACCACAACCAUGUCCCUUGGACGUCAGUGUGUAUAAUCGCACAUGCUUCCUCCCAUUUGAAUAAGAUCCAACCCCUUCACAGAUUUUGUGGGAUAUAAGAAGGGUGCUGACGACUCAGGCGUCUUUUCUUGGUCUGUUAUGGUGCAUAACUGCAUUUGUCCAUGUUCCUGUGCACUGGAUAAGGACACAGCCCAGUCCUCUCUGCCCCUUCACCUUCGUAGCGCUUUGUGUUUGAGCAGGGAGCUCCCACUACUUUAAGAUCCUUUUAUUUGGACAGUCUAGGUACUUUAAUUGACCACAACCAUGUCCCUUGGACAUCAGUGUGCAUAAAUUGUACAUGGUUUGUUCCAUUUGAGUAAGAUCCUACCCCUUCACACUCUGCGAUACAACAAGGAUGCUGAUUACUAAGACAAGACCUCUUUUCUUGGCCUAUUACUGUGCAUGACUACAUUUGCCCAUGUGCCUGUGCACUGGAUAAAAACACUGCUCCACCUCCCCUUGCUAACUCCCCAGCACCUUUUCCUUACAGCAGGGAGCACCCACUGGUUUAAGAUCCUUUUAUUUGGACAGUCAAGGUUCAUGACAUUAAUUGAAUACGAUCAUGUCCUUUGACAUCAAUGUAUAUAAUUGCACAUGGUUCAUCCAUUUGCAUAAGAUCCUACCCCCUCACACACUUAGUGUGAUACAGCAAGGGUAGUGACCACGGGGCCUCUUUUCUUGGCCUGUUGCUGUGCAUAACUGCAUUUGUCCAUGCUCCUGUGCACUGGAUAAGGACACCAAACCAUCUUCCCUGCCCCCUCUACCCUAGUUCCUUUGCUUUACAGCAGGCAGUGCCCACUAUGUUAAGAUUCUUUUAUUUCGAUAGUCAAGGUACAUGACUUUAAUUGACCACAACCAUGUCCCUUGGACAUCAGUGUGUAUAAUUGCACAUGCUUCCUCCCAUUUGAAUAAGAUCCAACCCCUUCACAGAUUUUGUGGGAUAUAAGAAGGGUGCUGACGACUCAGGCAUCUUUUCUUGGUCUGUUAUGGUGCAUAACUGCAUUUGUCCAUGUUCCUGUGCACUGGAUAAGGACACAGCCCAGUCCUCUCUGCCCCUUCACCUUCGUAGCGCUUUGUGUUUGAGCAGGGAGCUCCCACUACUUUAAGAUCCUUUUAUUUGGACAGUCUAGGUACUUUAAUUGACCACAACCAUGUCCCUUGGACAUCAGUGUGCAUAAAUUGUACAUGGUUUGUUCCAUUUGAGUAAGAUCCUACCCCUUCACACUCUGCGAUACAACAAGGAUGCUGAUUACUAAGACAAGACCUCUUUUCUUGGCCUAUUACUGUGCAUGACUACAUUUGCCCAUGUGCCUGUGCACUGGAUAAAAACACUGCUCCACCUCCCCUUGCUAACUCCCCAGCACCUUUUCCUUACAGCAGGGAGCACCCACUGGUUUAAGAUCCUUUUAUUUGGACAGUCAAGGUUCAUGACAUUAAUUGAAUACGAUCAUGUCCUUUGACAUCAAUGUAUAUAAUUGCACAUGGUUCAUCCAUUUGCAUAAGAUCCUACCCCCUCACACACUUAGUGUGAUACAGCAAGGGUAGUGACCACGGGGCCUCUUUUCUUGGCCUGUUGCUGUGCAUAACUGCAUUUGUCCAUGCUCCUGUGCACUGGAUAAGGACACCAAACCAUCUUCCCUGCCCCCUCUACCCUAGUUCCUUUGCUUUACAGCAGGCAGUGCCCACUAUGUUAAGAUUCUUUUAUUUCGAUAGUCAAGGUACAUGACUUUAAUUGACCACAACCAUGUCCCUUGGACGUCAGUGUGUAUAAUCGCACAUGCUUCCUCCCAUUUGAAUAAGAUCCAACCCCUUCACAGAUUUUGUGGGAUAUAAGAAGGGUGCUGACGACUCAGGCGUCUUUUCUUGGUCUGUUAUGGUGCAUAACUGCAUUUGUCCAUGUUCCUGUGCACUGGAUAAGGACACAGCCCAGUCCUCUCUGCCCCUUCACCUUCGUAGCGCUUUGUGUUUGAGCAGGGAGCUCCCACUACUUUAAGAUCCUUUUAUUUGGACAGUCUAGGUACUUUAAUUGACCACAACCAUGUCCCUUGGACAUCAGUGUGCAUAAAUUGUACAUGGUUUGUUCCAUUUGAGUAAGAUCCUACCCCUUCACACUCUGCGAUACAACAAGGAUGCUAAUUACUAAGACAAGACCUCUUUUCUUGGCCUAUUACUGUGCAUGACUACAUUUGCCCAUGUGCCUGUGCACUGGAUAAAAACACUGCUCCACCUCCCCUUGCUAACUCCCCAGCACCUUUUCCUUACAGCAGGGAGCACCCACUGGUUUAAGAUCCUUUUAUUUGGACAGUCAAGGUUCAUGACAUUAAUUGAAUACGAUCAUGUCCUUUGACAUCAAUGUAUAUAAUUGCACAUGGUUCAUCCAUUUGCAUAAGAUCCUACCCCCUCACACACUUAGUGUGAUACAGCAAGGGUAGUGACCACGGGGCCUCUUUUCUUGGCCUGUUGCUGUGCAUAACUGCAUUUGUCCAUGCUCCUGUGCACUGGAUAAGGACACCAAACCAUCUUCCCUGCCCCCUCUACCCUAGUUCCUUUGCUUUACAGCAGGCAGUGCCCACUAUGUUAAGAUUCUUUUAUUUCGAUAGUCAAGGUACAUGACUUUAAUUGACCACAACCAUGUCCCUUGGACGUCAGUGUGUAUAAUUGCACAUGCUUCCUCCCAUUUGAAUAAGAUCCAACCCCUUCACAGAUUUUGUGGGAUAUAAGAAGGGUGCUGACGACUCAGGCGUCUUUUCUUGGUCUGUUAUGGUGCAUAAUUGCAUUUGUCCAUGUUCUGUGCACUGGAUAAGGACACAGCCCAGUCCUCUCUGCCCCUUCACCUUCAUAGCGCUUUGUGUUUGAGCAGGGAGCUCCCACUACUUUAAGAUCCUUUUAUUUGGACAGUCUAGGUACUUUAAUUGACCACAACCAUGUCCCUUGGACAUCAGUGUGCAUAAAUUGUACAUGGUUCCUCCCAUUUCAAUCAGAUCUUACCCCUUCACAAACUUUGUGGGAUAUAACAAGGGUGCUGACCACUAAGGCCUCUUUUCUUGGCCUGUUGCUGUGCAUAACUGCAUUUGUCCGUGUUCCUGUGCCCUAGAUAAGAACACAGGCCUGUCCUCCCUGCCCACUCUCCCCCAGUGCCUUUGCUUACAGCAGGGAGCGCUCACUACUUUAAAAUCCUUUUAUUUCGACAGUCAAGGUACGUGACUUUAAUUGACCACAGCCACGUCCUUUAAGCAUUAAUAUGUAUAAUUGCCUCUUUUUCAUUCUAUUUAAAUAAGGUCUUACCCCCUCACACCCAUUUUACAAUAUAGCAGGGGUGAUGAUGACUAAGAUCUCUCUUGGCUAGUUAAUGUGCAUGAUUGUAUUUGUGACGGUUAUUGUGCAGUAGACAAAGAUGUCCCCAUCAAACUCUCCUUGCCUUCCAGUAAGUGGUGUCCACUGCUGGAGACCCUUGCAUUUGAUAUGUAAUAUGCAUAAUUCCAACUGUUUGGUCUUCAUUAUUAGCCUGAGGUCAUUCCUUCUUACAUUUCCUUUGCGUUAUAACAGGGCUUACUGCUCAACAAAGGCCCUCCUUUUUGGACUGUUAGUGUAUGUAGUUACUUUUGCCCCUGUUCUGUGCACUACUUGAGGGCCCUACCUGCUUCCUUAGCAUUUUUAGCAGGUAGUUCCCACUAUUCAAGAUCCCUACAUCUGAAAAGGUCACAUACACAAUUUUCUACAAGCAUGUCUUACACCAGAAGCCCUGCACCCUCUUUGCUUUAGAGCAGGGAGUGCUGUUCACCUAAUACCCCUUUGGACUUUAAUGUGCAUAAUUGCAAUUGUCCAUCUAUUUAGUUUGGCUAGGAUUCUGUCCCCUCAACUCUUUUGCAUUAAGAUAUGUUAGCCAUACAUGUUCCCUUCUCUUGGGAAUAUAAAUAUGAAUAAUUAUAUUUGUCUGUGGACUUGUGCAGCUAAAAAAAGACCCUAUGCUCCUACCAUUACCUUUGGAUUGCUGCUGAAGGGUACUAGUUAUUCAGGUCCUCAGCUCUUGCACAGUUAAUAUGCACCAAUAACAACUGUGGCGAAUACUGAUCACUAUAAUCCUUGUACCCUCUUUGCAUAGAUGCCUUUGGAGUACUUAAGGCUCCUUUUCUUAGACUGCUAAUGUGAAUAUUUGCAGUUAUCCAUGUCCCCUUUUGUUAAACUAAGAUAGCGUCUCCUCACAUCCCCUUUACAUUACUGCAGAAGCUUCUGACCACCCAAAACCUUCUGGACUGUUAAUGGGUACAGUGGCAAUUAUCAAUAUUUUUCUCUCCCCAGCCCUGUUAUGCAAGCACCCCACCGCCAAUUUCCAAUGCCAUAAUAAAGUGUAAACAUUGCAAAAGGCUAUGAUCUUAUCCAACAAAUCCAUAUAGGGACUCACACUCUCCUUUUGCCUUGCUCCAAUGUAUAAAGUUCCAAGUAUUCAUGGUCUCAACCUUUAUAAAAGGUCUUUUCCCCCGCCCCUUGCCUGCCCUUGGACCUUUCUUAUGAACUAUUAUUAAUGCUCACAAUUUCAGGUAUCCAUGUAUCUAGCCAAUAGAUAAUGUCGUGCUCUCCCCUUUCCCUGCCCUUUUUGCACUGUUGGGGAAUGUUGACUGGCAAGGUCCUUUCUCUGGGACUUUUAAAAGUUUAACAAUCCCGGAGGUCACUGGUUUACCAACUUUGUAUUGCUGUAAUGCAUCAGUUGUACUUCCCUUGGUCCUUCCCAUGCACCCUUCCACUUCCUUCUUUGAGUUGCUUUUGAGUAGUGCUGACUUCUCAAAGUCCCUUCUUUUGUAUUAUCAAUGAGCACAAUACCAAUUGUCCCAUUUUUCAGCCCAUCGAUACUAGAUCCCCCUACCAUUUUGGUUGUAUGUGCAGUGUUGACUACCAAAAGCAGGACUGGAUUAGGUGGCUGGGCCUUCACUUUUUUUUCUGCAUUGUUAGUGAUUCAAGUUACUGUCAAUUCUGGGGCAGGAACCAUUCUUGCCCAGCUGUUACUACUCUACAGUGCAAAAUACCAAGGAGCUGGAUUGCCAUCCUUUAUUUUGGGUUUUCAAUAUAUAGUAUCGCUGAAAAGAGUCUCCCAGGAAGGAGAUUAGCCCUUUCCUUGCAUUCUUCCUUCCAAAGGAGAUUGUCUGACCAAGAAUCUGUCCUCCCCUUUUUUUCUGUAUAUUGGUAUUGUGCAGUGCCAAUUGCCAGGAUACAACUGGAAAAAUUGGUGUUAAUUUUUUACUUUUUAAGGAAGACAUCAGGAUUGCAAGAAGGAAUUGAUAACCUGGUCAUUAAUAUUUCGAAGUCAAAAAUUCCAUUUAUAGCACAUACCGAUAAACAGUGUCUCUUAUUUUACUGAGGGUGGUGAGUCUGUGGACAGACCACUGUGACUCUUGCUAUAUUAGUAUUAUCAAAGGAGUUCUGGAGUGGAACUCUCUAAGACCAGUGUCCUUGUUUGGGCUGUACCACCAUUCACUUUCAGAAAAACCAUCUGAACUUUCUAAUCCUUACAUUUCUUCACCUGGAGCAGUAGCCCAUACUUAUUUCAAGGGGAUUCCUGUAAAAGGUUUACAUGAGAGAACAUAUGCUGAGGUGCUUUUGAAAACCAUAGACCACCCUGUUUGAUUAUUAGGCACCUUCUUAUAGUUCUGGAGAUAAUUUGAAGUAGCCUGAAGCACUACACCGAAGUGAAGCGCUAUCUUAGGAAUGAUGGGACCUGUUUCCCUAUUUUAUAAGAAAAAUAAGCCAAGAUCUAAUCAUUCUUCUGGAUAUAAAUGUCAACAGUGAGAUAGCUUUGUAGUAAAAAUGACUAGUGUCCCAACCUCUAGUGUACAGGGUGCUUUGUGGCAGAGGAGUAUUUAGUAUGGAACUGCUGAAGCAAAUAACUAGUCAUCACAACAGCGAUUACCCUGUAAUCACUGAAAAAGGAUACUGUUCUUAUGAGAAGGAUGUCAAAAGAUCGGCUCAGCUCAGGGUGCAGUUUGCACUACUAGCUCCUUGGACAGCUGUAAGAAGAGUCUCUGGCUCUUUAGAAUACUGGAUGAAUUCACAGCCAGUUCUGUACUCCACUCAAGGAAGAAUGGAUCAAUUUUAGGUGGAUGGAAGCCUACACUAGAUGGCAUCCAAAGACAAGAGAUGCCAACACAGUCUCAAGUGUCCACCUGAUACAAGUAGCUCACUCUUCAUCAGCAUCUCUCUCCAACCCAUUGUCCAGUCCCUUCCAUGUCUGAUGAGCUGUCUUCGGGAAUGGUUCCUGUCCUGGGCCAACAGAAGGUUUGGGGACCAUGACCACCAGGAUUCCUCUAGUCUCAGUCAGAUGGAAUGGUUAUUUCUUUCUAGGAUGAUCCUACCACGUAAGACCUGAGGACUGCAAGCUGCUCUAAGAAGAAAUCCAGCAGAUCAUUCCUUUUGAGAAUCUGGACACACUCCAACUAAUCCAAAAAGUUGAUUUGCAGGCCACUGGAGAAAAAGGUCUUCCAUAAAAUAAUAGGCUUGUUGUCUUACAGUGUUAGUGACCCAUUCCCUUUGAAGAUCCUUAGGUGGAGAUGGGGCAUGAGGAUCUUCCAGGGGAAAUGCUCACUAACUCUGGUCAACAACUCUAUGCCAAGAAAUUGUACCAAAAUACUUCCCUGCACCCAGAUAGGAGGAUGGAAUCUCAAAAGACAACCACCAUAUAUCAAGUGGCUCUUGGUCGUUUCGUCCAUAUCUGCCAAAUCAUUAUCCUUCCCAAAAGCAGUGCAUCCAGGGCUUCCACAGAAUCAGGAGAUUUGAAGACACCAAAGGAAGUCAGCCUUUUGCGUGAAUAUCAAUAUGCCAACCUCUUCAGCAGCUUAGAAUAGCAGGAUGAAGUUAGUUGGUGUUACAAUCCUGUGAGGAUCACUCCAGAACUAUUGAGCGCCUCGCUUUAUCUUGUCUCUUUGGCUUUUUUCCCUCUCUUGCUUAUCUCUUUCACGCCUAUGUGAGUAUUUCUUUGCUUGUCUAUUUCUUCCUCGAGUGUCUUUGCUUUUUCUUCUGUAUGUUAAGUGUGUCUUAACUAUUUCUCUUGCUACUUUCUUCCAUGCAUGCCUUUGUUUCAUUUUCUCUUUUUGUUCCUAAGAGCUGUGUGGUUUGUGCUUUGUCUUAGAUGUGCCUCUUGUGUUUUGUUGUGUUUUUCACUUUCUUGUUUCUUCUCUUUACUCUCCUUUAUCUGGCCUUUUUUCACUUGUUUUGUGUCUGCUGAGUCACGUGCUGUGUUCUUUUUGCUCUUUUCCUGUUCUUCCUACCUCUCUUUUUCUCUCUGUGAAUCCUGAUUGUUUGUUACCCCCUCUGUUGUUUGACUUCUUGUUUUUGAUUCUAGCCAUCCUUCUGCUGUUUCUACUCUAUACCUAUCAUUUCUCUUUUCCACAUUUCCUCUCUGCCUCUCUUGGGCCAUUUUCUCUCUGUUUUCCUUCUCUGUGUGUCUUAGUGUUUCUUUGCUCUUUGUCAUUUU